rnacentral:rRNA from 1 species
UUAAGCUAAUAAGAGCGCAGGGAGGAUGCCUUGGCAUCAGGAGCCGAAGAAGGACGUGGUAAGCUGCGAAAAGCUACGGGGAUUGGCAAGCACGAUAUGAUCCGUAGAUAUCCGAAUGGAGCAAUCCACAUGGAGUCAAGUCCAUGUAUCAUAUACUGAAUAAAUAGGUAUAUGAGGGGAACCGCCCGAACUGAAACAUCUAAGUAGGGCGAGGAAAAGAAAUCAACCGAGAUUCUGUGAGUAGUGGCGAGCGAAAGCGGAAGAGGCUAAACCGAGAGGAGCAAUCCUUUCGGGGUUUAGGACUGCAUUUAGUACAAUGAUUGUUAACCGAACAGCAUGGGAAGGCUGAUCAAAGAAGGUGAGAAUCCUGUAGGUGAAAACGAAAGUUGACGAGCAGUAUCCAAAGUACCGCGGGGCACGUGAAAUCCCGUGGGAAGAUGGGGGGACCAUCCUCCAAGCCUAAAUACUACCUGAUGACCGAUAGCGAAUAGUACUGUGAAGGAAAGGUGAAAAGCACCCCGGGAGGGGAGUGAAAGAGAACCUGAAACCCUGUGCUUACAAGCACUUAGAGCACGUCAAAGUGUGAUAAGGUACCUAUUGUAGAAUGGUCCGGCGAGUUAUUGUAUGCAGCGAGGUUAAGUAGUUCAGCUACGGAGCCGAAGUGAGAGCGAGUGUUAACAGCACGUUCAGUUGCAUGCAAUAGACCCGAAACCGGGUGACCUAUCCAUGUCCAGGAUGAAGUGAGGGUAAAACCUCAUGGAGGUCCGAACCCACUCCCGUUGAAAUGGUAGGGGAUGAGGUGUGGAUAGCGGAGAAAUUCCAAUCGAACCCGGAUAUAGCUGGUUCUCCCCGAAAUAGUUUUAGGACUAGCCUCGUGAUUAAGAUUAUCGGAGGUAAAGCACUGAAUGGCCUAGGGGUCGAGAGAUUACCGAAGCCUAUCAAACUCUGAAUGCCGAAUAAUCAUGCACGGGAGUCAGACUGUGUGAGAUAAGUUUCAUAGUCGAAAGGGAAACAGCCCAGACCUACAGCUAAGGUCCCAAAGUACGUUUAAGUGGAAAACGAUGUGAAAUUGCGUAGACAACCAGGAUGUUGGCUUAGAAGCAGCCAUACAUUAAAAGAGUGCGUAAUAGCUCACUGGUCGAGUGACUUUGCGCGGAAAAUUUAACGGGGCUAAAACGUACACCGAAGCUUAGGCUUGCAACAAUGUUGCAGGGGUAGGGGAGCGUUGAAUGAGGGGUGAAGUCGUAGCGAAAGCGACGGUGGACUUCAUUCAAGUGAGAAUGCCGGAAUGAGUAGCGAGAAUUAUGUGAGAAUCAUAAUGGCCGAAAGCCUAAGGUUUUUGGAGGAAGGUUCGUCCGCUCCAAGUAAGUCGGAAGCUAAGGUGAGGCUGAAAAGCGUAGCCGAUGCACAAACGGUUGAAAUUCCGUUACCACAGAAAGAUUUAAACUAAGGGACACUUUUGAAGAGCUGAUGCCGGGUGUUGGUUACCCCGGUCGUAAGGGAACGAAAUUAAGUAGUGAAGUCAGCGUGGAUGAAGGCGAGAAAAGCUUAGUGUAUAUCUUAUGUGUCCGUACCGCAAACCGACACAGGUAGGUAGGAAGAGAAUUCUAAGGCCAACGGGAGAAGGGUAGUUAAGGAACUCGGCAAAAUGUCCCCGUAACUUCGGAAUAAGGGGAGGUUUCUACGGAAACCCGCAGAGAAUAGUCCCAGGCAACUGUUUAUCAAAAACACAGCUCUAUGCUAAAUCGAAAGAUGACGUAUAUGGGGUGACGCCUGCCCGGUGCCGGAAGGUUAAGAGGAGGAGUGAGAGCCCUGAAUCGAAGCCCCGGUAAACGGCGGCCGUAACUAUAACGGUCCUAAGGUAGCGAAAUUCCUUGUCAGGUAAGUUCUGACCCGCACGAAUGGCGUAAUGAUCUGGGAGCUGUCUCAACUGCCCGCCCGGCGAAAUUGUAGUACCGGUGAAGAUGCCGGUUACCCGCGACUAGACGGAAAGACCCCAUGGAGCUUUACUGUAGCUUAAUAUUGGAUUUCGGCAUUUCAUGUACAGGAUAGGUGGGAGACUAGGAAACAUAGGCGUCAGCUUAUGCGGAGUCGUCCUUGGGAUACCACUCUUGGAGUGCUGAAAUUCUAACCUGCAGCCCUGAAUCGGGUUGGGGGACAUUGUUAGGUGGGCAGUUUGACUGGGGCGGUCGC